CCAGGAAACGGGAAGCAAGAAGCCGCCAUGAGCGCGCCCUUGCACGACUCCGAGCUGCUACGAGAUCACUGAAGAUGCUGGCUACUGUACUUGCUAUGCAGUGGCGCUCGUUGGAGAUGGAUGAGAGAGGACUGGUUGGGUGCCGCAUAUUUAUAGCCUGCCUCGACCGAUAAUCUCGCGGACUUCUCUUUGGGACGGGCCGGGGUUGGGUGUGUG
rnacentral:lncRNA from 1 species